UUGAUCCUGGGCUCAGAACGAACGUUGGCGGCGUGGAUUAGGCAUGCAAGUCGCACGAAUCCCGGGGCAACUCGGGGGAAGUGGCGAAAGUGGGCAGUAAGUGCAUGGGCAACUUGCCCCGGGGACCGGCAUAGCCUUCCUAACGGAAGGGUAAUUCCGGGCAACGUGCAGGAGUCGCAUGGCUCCCGCACCAGAUGGAUUCCGCCCCGGGAGAGGCUCAUGUGCUAUUAGCUUGUUGGCGGGGUAAUGGCCCACCAAGGCAACGAUGGCUAGCAGGUGUGAGAGCACGACCUGCGCCACUGGCACUGAGACACUGGCCAGACUCCUACGGGAGGCUGCAGUCGAGGAUCUUCGGCAAUGGGCGCAAGCCUGACCGAGCGACGCCGCGUGCGCGAUGAAGGCCUUCGGGUUGUAAAGCGCUGUCGAGGGGGAGGAAGCCGAAAGGUUGACCUAUCCCUGGAGGAAGCACGGGCUAAGUUCGUGCCAGCAGCCGCGGUAAGACGAACCGUGCAAACGUUGUUCGGAAUCACUGGGCAUAAAGGGCGCGUAGGCGGCCCGACAAGUCUGUGGUGAAAGCCUCCCGCUUAACGGGAGAAGGGCCGUGGAUACUGUCGGGCUCGAGGGAGACAGGGGCAGGUGGAACUUCCGGUGGAGCGGUGAAAUGCGUUGAGAUCGGAAGGAACUCCGGUGGCGAAAGCGACCUGCUGGAUCUCUGCUGACGCUGAGGCGCGAAAGCCAGGGGAGCAAACGGGAUUAGAUACCCCGGUAGUCCUGGCCCUAAACGAUGGGUACUGAGUAGCGGACUGGACAUGGGUUCGCUGCUGGAGCAAAUGUGGUAAGUACCCCGCCUGGGGAGUAUGGUCGCAAGGCUGAAACUCAAAGGAAUUGACGGGGGCUCACACAAGCGGUGGAGCAUGUGGCUUAGUUCGAGGCUACGCGAAGAACCUUAUCCUGGGCUUGACAUGUGCGAAAGCGGUCGGGAGUAGGGGGGAGAGAUCUUUCCCGAACGGUACCCAGUCCGGAACCGACUACAGGUGCUGCAUGGCUGUCGUCAGCUCGUGUCGUGAGAUGUCGGGUUAAGUCCCAUAACGAGCGAAACCCCUGUUUCCAGUUGCCAGCGCGUCAUGGCGGGGACUCUGGAAAGACCGCCGGUGUUAAACCGGAGGAAGGUGGGGAUGACGUCAAGUCCUCAUGGCCUUUAUGCCCAGGGCUGCACACGUGCUACAAUGGCCGCUACAGAGGGAAGCCAACCCGCGAGGGGGAGCCAAUCUCAGAAAAGCGGCCCCAGUUCAGAUUGCAGGCUGCAACUCGCCUGCAUGAAGUUGGAAUCGCUAGUAGUCGCGGAUCAGCACGCCGCGGUGAUACGUUCCCGGGCAUUGUACACACCGC
rnacentral:rRNA from 1 species